AGCGCUCUUAACUUCCCCAAGGCCCAGCUUUAUCAGUCCACUUCAGUCGAUCCUAGUGCCUCGCGUGUCGUGUGGCUUUGUUGGCGAUGAUUAAGGUUCGGUUUUCUUUGCUGUGUUUUUUAGUUUUUUUCCAUCCCAAAUCAAGUCAAAUCACUCAGUUUCGUGAAGAGGUGAUACAUUUGCUCGGUGCAUUAUCACAAACAAAAAGGCUUCACACACACACUGGUACAGAACGCGAACGCAUGCAACGCACCGUCAUGUCUUCCAUGCUGACAAUCUGUCGUAAAUCAUUCCAACGACGAACACAAUCACUCGUGUAUGAUUUAUGUUUGCAACACCAAACCCUACAGGACGUCCCGAUCGCAUCCCGCACGGUGAUGAUGAUGGUCUGGUCAGAUCGGACAACAGUACUACCCAACCCACCAGGCAGUGCCUUAAUUGCUUCCAUCAGAUCGUUCUUCCGCGCGAUACGCGAUCACCGUGGCUGAUACGUUUCCGUGCAAUCGUGUAACCUUGGGCCGGGGGUUGCUUCGAAUAGGGUUGAUUGGUGCGAAAAGGUGCGCAACAGAAACAUGGUGGGAAAAUAAACGUCUUCCGGUGUAAAGGUAUGGGUUUGGACUGCAUCUUGUGUCGGUGAUGCUCACAUACCGUCCGUGGGUAUGGGUGGCAAGUAAUGAGAUCGAACCGUGUCAUACCGCUGUAGGUGGUUUAUUGUGUGUGUCUCAAACAGUUUACGGUACACUGAUACGGUUUUAUCACGAUAGAUGGUCUGACAAACUGUAGCAAAAUGCUUCUUCUUCUAUUUGGCGUAUGUUCGCGUAGGACAUGCCGGCCUAUUACACAACAGGCUUUCCAGACUUUAUUCAGUACCUCGCAGCCGGAUAGUCAGUCCUUGCCACGGGAGGACGGUCCACUCAAGGCUUGAACCCAGGACGAAUAUUAAAUAUUGUCGUUCGAGUUGAGCAAAGUGUGUGAAGUUUGAAAAUCUCUUCAAAUUUCCAAGGUAUUCAGAAUUGACUAAUAUGUACUGUAAGUAUCAAAUAAUGAUCAGAUGUAAGUAGAAAUAAGAUCAGAAUGUAAUGUAAUAAAUUGAUAAUUGAUACAUUAUCAUAGGACAGGAAGCUCUUUGUGCAAGAAUGACUUGAUGCUGAACGAUCGUCUGCUCCAUUCUCACAGAUUUUUGUUAUUUUGUGCAUUUUUUAUUGUUCGAUUGAUUGUUUCCGGCACAGCAUGCAAUAUCAAUUCCUGCAUUUUUUUUCUCUACUAAAAGCUCGCCUACUCAGCAUCAAAAACUUGAACAGUAGGGACGGGCAAUAUUUUUAACAAGUAGAUACGUCUCACACACAAACCAUUGCUUGCCAUAUCAUUGGUACCUCCUUAGCUUCUUGCAACAAACUCCAACGUGCUGGUGAACAUUGUACAAGAACCUUUACGAAUGGUGAUGCGUCUUGGUGCGUUACUAUAGCAACGCCUUCUACUUUUCGGCCCGGUGAAGAAUUGACGACGGACAAGAGGAAAAACAGUAAUGGCCGAUGUAAAAAGUCUCCGAAAACGAUGGUAGAACGAAGGGAGCAUAGUAGGCCGGGAAUCAAUUAAGGACACAAUCCCAAUCCAGCUGCUGCUGCCAUCGUUCGAUUGGAACGUCUUAUCUGCGUUCCCUUCAACCAUUAUCCUUCCCGUUGCCCUUUGGCCCUUUUGCCGGCCCUUUUUUAUCGUCUUCUUAUGCUUCUUCUGCUUGUAGCGCUUGCAGCCGUAUUGGAUGGGAGAUGGGAGAGAAAAAUAAAGCGAAGAAACAGAAGACACCCAUCGCUGAGAGCAGCAGCGCAGCACUGCAGUGUCAAGGCAACGUGGCUGUGCUGCCCCAUCGAAUAAUCCGAACGGCCGGGGCCGUGCACGGUACAAGGGUAUAUAGGGUGGGGUGUUUGGGAGAAGCCAUAAAUUAGACGCUGAAAUGAAGCGACCAAACAAUGCUGAAGCUGACGCAGCGCUAAAGACGCGAGACGGGCGACACAGUGGAGAGAGACACCGAGUCAGAACGCCAGCAGUCUUUUGGAAUUGGAAUGGGCUGGUCCGGGCAGAAGAUAGUGCGUUUUCUUUUCUUCUCGUUUUCACAAUCCAGAAAAAAGGCCUUUUGAUUAUUGAUUUCAGCCCAGAAAGUGAUCUCGUGCAGAGGAGGAAACGUGGAAUACAGAAACGUAACAAAUGAUCGACAUUGAAGGAAUGGUGGUCAUCCCGAGCAGCAUUCUUCCUGAUUAAUGAGCCACACCGUGGAACAUUAAAUGAUGAAACACGGUCGAAUUAGGGGGAAAACGAAAGGAAACAAAUCGAAACAGUCGAAUCAAAAAGGUAUAUAGAAUAAAGCAUCGGACAGAGUAUGAAUCCUCAAGGCCCGAAUAAUGCUUACCAAA